AAAACUCCCUUGACGGUACUUAAUGAAUAAGCCCCGGCUAAUUAUGUGCCAGCAGCCGCGGUAAUACAUAAGGGGCGAGCGUUAUCCGGAAUUAUUGGGCGUAAAGGGUGCGUAGGCGGUUUAAUAAGUCUAUAGUUUAAUUUCAGUGCUUAACGCUGUUGUGCUAUAGAAACUGUUUUACUAGAGUGAGUUAGAGGCAAGCGGAAUUCCAUGUGUAGCGGUAAAAUGCGUAAAUAUAUGGAGGAACACCAGAGGCGUAGGCGGCUUGCUGGGACUUUACUGACGCUGAGGCACGAAAGCGUGGGGAGCAAACAGGAUUAGAUACCCUGGUAGUCCACACCGUAAACGAUGAGUACUAAGUGUCGGGUAAAACCGGUACUGAAGUUAACACAUUAAGUACUCCGCCUGAGUAGUACGUACGCAAGUAUGAAACUUAAAGGAAUUGACGGGACUCCGCACAAGCGGUGGAUCAUGUUGUUUAAUUCGAAGAUACACGAAAAACCUUACCAGGUCUUGACAUUUUCUUGCGAAGUUAUAGAAAUAUAAUGGAGGUUAUCAGGAAAACAGGUGGUGCAUGGUUGUCGUCAGCUCGUGUCGUGAGAUGUUAGGUUAAGUCCUAAAACGAGCGCAACCCUUGUCGUUAAUUGCCAGCAUGUAAUGAUGGGGACUUUAACGAGACUGCCAAUGAAAAAUUGGAGGAAGGUGGGGAUUACGUCAAAUCAUCAUGCCCCUUAUGAUCUGGGCUACAAACGUGAUACAAUGGUUGAUACAAAGAGUAGCUGAAACGCGAGUUCUUAGCCAAUCUCACAAAAAA
rnacentral:rRNA from 1 species